rnacentral:rRNA from 1 species
GGUUAAGCGACUAAGCGUACACGGUGGAUGCCCUGGCAGUCAGAGGCGAUGAAGGACGUGCUAAUCUGCGAUAAGCGUCGGUAAGGUGAUAUGAACCGUUAUAACCGGCGAUUUCCGAAUGGGGAAACCCAGUGUGAUUCGUCACACUAUCAUUAACUGAAUCCAUAGGUUAAUGAGGCGAACCGGGGGAACUGAAACAUCUAAGUACCCCGAGGAAAAGAAAUCAACCGAGAUUCCCCCAGUAGCGGCGAGCGAACGGGGAGCAGCCCAGAGCCUGAAUCAGUGUGUGUGUUAGUGGAAGCGUCUGGAAAGGCGUGCGAUACAGGGUGACAGCCCCGUACACAAAAAUGCACAUACUGUGAGCUCGAUGAGUAGGGCGGGACACGUGGUAUCCUGUCUGAAUAUGGGGGGACCAUCCUCCAAGGCUAAAUACUCCUGACUGACCGAUAGUGAACCAGUACCGUGAGGGAAAGGCGAAAAGAACCCCGGCGAGGGGAGUGAAAAAGAACCUGAAACCGUGUACGUACAAGCAGUGGGAGCACGCUUAGGCGUGUGACUGCGUACCUUUUGUAUAAUGGGUCAGCGACUUAUAUUCUGUAGCAAGGUUAACCGAAUAGGGGAGCCGAAGGGAAACCGAGUCUUAACUGGGCGUUAAGUUGCAGGGUAUAGACCCGAAACCCGGUGAUCUAGCCAUGGGCAGGUUGAAGGUUGGGUAACACUAACUGGAGGACCGAACCGACUAAUGUUGAAAAAUUAGCGGAUGACUUGUGGCUGGGGGUGAAAGGCCAAUCAAACCGGGAGAUAGCUGGUUCUCCCCGAAAGCUAUUUAGGUAGCGCCUCGUGAAUUCAUCUCCGGGGGUAGAGCACUGUUUCGGCAAGGGGGUCAUCCCGACUUACCAACCCGAUGCAAACUGCGAAUACCGGAGAAUGUUAUUACGGGAGACACACGGCGGGUGCUAACGUCCGUCGUGAAGAGGGAAACAACCCAGACCGCCAGCUAAGGUCCCAAAGUCAUGGUUAAGUGGGAAACGAUGUGGGAAGGCCCAGACAGCCAGGAUGUUGGCUUAGAAGCAGCCAUCAUUUAAAGAAAGCGUAAUAGCUCACUGGUCGAGUCGGCCUGCGCGGAAGAUGUAACGGGGCUAAACCAUGCACCGAAGCUGCGGCAGCGACGCUUAUGCGUUGUUGGGUAGGGGAGCGUUCUGUAAGCCUGUGAAGGUGUGCUGUGAGGUAUGCUGGAGGUAUCAGAAGUGCGAAUGCUGACAUAAGUAACGAUAAAGCGGGUGAAAAGCCCGCUCGCCGGAAGACCAAGGGUUCCUGUCCAACGUUAAUCGGGGCAGGGUGAGUCGACCCCUAAGGCGAGGCCGAAAGGCGUAGUCGAUGGGAAACAGGUUAAUAUUCCUGUACUUGGUGUUACUGCGAAGGGGGGACGGAGAAGGCUAUGUUGGCCGGGCGACGGUUGUCCCGGUUUAAGCGUGUAGGCUGGUUUUCCAGGCAAAUCCGGAAAAUCAAGGCCGAGGCGUGAUGACGAGGCACUACGGUGCUGAAGCAACAAAUGCCCUGCUUCCAGGAAAAGCCUCUAAGCAUCAGGUAACAUCAAAUCGUACCCCAAACCGACACAGGUGGUCAGGUAGAGAAUACCAAGGCGCUUGAGAGAACUCGGGUGAAGGAACUAGGCAAAAUGGUGCCGUAACU